rnacentral:rRNA from 1 species
GAUGAACGCUGGCGGCGUGCCUAAUACAUGCAAGUCGAGCGAAUGGAUUAAGAGCUUGCUCUUAUGAAGUUAGCGGCGGACGGGUGAGUAACACGUGGGUAACCUGCCCAUAAGACUGGGAUAACUCCGGGAAACCGGGGCUAAUACCGGAUAACAUUUUGAACCGCAUGGUUCGAAAUUGAAAGGCGGCUUCGGCUGUCACUUAUGGAUGGACCCGCGUCGCAUUAGCUAGUUGGGGAGGUAACGGCUCACCAAGGCAACGAUGCGUAGCCGACCUGAGAGGGUGAUCGGCCAAACUGGGACUGGGACACGGACCAGACUCCUACGGGAGGGAGAGGUAGGGAAUCAGCCGAAAUGGACGAAAGGCUGACGGAGCAACGCCGCGGGAGUGAUGAAGGCUUUCGGGUCGUAAAACUCUGUUGUUAGGGAAGAACAAGUGCUAGUUGAAUAAGCUGGCACCUUGACGGUACCUAACCAGAAAGCCACGGCUAACUACGUGCCAGCCGCCGCAGUAA